AAGACUAUAGACCUGCGGAGUACCUGCGGAGGGAUCAUUACCGAGUUUUCAACUCCCUAACCCUUCUGUGAACCUACCUAUCGUUGCUUCGGCGGACUCGCCCCAGCCCGGACGCGGACUGGACCAGCGGCCCGCCGGGGACCUCAAACCCUUGUAUUCCAGCAUCUUCUGAAUACGCCGCAAGGCAAAACAAAUGAAUCAAAACUUUUAACAAUGGAUCUCUAGAUCGGAAGAGCACAC
rnacentral:misc_RNA from 1 species